rnacentral:rRNA from 1 species
AUUGAACGCUGGCGGCAUGCCUUACACAUGCAAGUCGAACGGCAGCACGGGAGCAAUCCUGGUGGCGAGUGGCGAACGGGUGAGUAAUAUAUCGGAACGUGCCCAGUCGUGGGGAUAACGUAGCGAAAGCUACGCUAAUACCGCAUACGAUCUAUGGGUGAAAGCGGGGGGAUCGCAAGACCUCGCGCGAUUGGAGCGGCCGAUAUCAGAUUAGGUAGUUGGUGAGGUAAAGGCUCACCAAGCCGACGAUCUGUAGCUGGUCUGAGAGGACGACCAGCCACACUGGGACUGAGACACGGCCCAGACUCCUACGGGAGGCAGCAGUGGGAAUUUUGGACAAUGGACGCAAGUCUGAUCCAGCAAUGCCGCGUGCAGGAUGAAGGCCUCGGUUGUAAC